UUGUCUAUUUAAACACAUAUUUGCCUCACAUAUUUCCUCCCCCUCUUCUUCCUCUUGCUUCUUUCAAUAUCUUAGCAUUGCUUUUCAAAGCUUUGUUUCUUCAUAACCUUUGCAUUGCUCUUGAAGCUUUGUUUCUUCAUACCCUUUUCUCAUUUUCCCUUAACAAUCACUCAUUUUUCCCUUUUUGGUAAGCAUUUGAUUUUUUUUCUCUAGUUAAAACUUUAGUCAUUAUACCCUUAAACCUUCACCUUUUAAUUUUCAAUCAACCAUAGCUUCAAAACCAUUGAAAAAACAUAAUUGACAUUAACCUAUGAUU
rnacentral:lncRNA from 1 species